UACGUAGGGGGCUAGCGUUGUCCGGAAUCAUUGGGCGUAAAGAGCGUGUAGGCGGCCCGGUAAGUCCGCUGUGAAAGUCGGGGGCUCAACCCUCGAAUGCCGGUGGAUACUGUCGGGCUAGAGUGCGGAAGAGGCGAGUGGAAUUCCUGGUGUAGCGGUGAAAUGCGCAGAUAUCAGGAGGAACACCGAUUGCGAAGGCAGCUCGCUGGGACGUCACUGACGCUGAGGAGCGAAAGUGUGGGGAGCGAACAGG
rnacentral:rRNA from 1 species